AUCAUUUCAUUUCUCAGGGUCAGAAGGUUUUUUACUCUCUCUCUUUCAUGUCUUCUCGAUCUGCUCUGAAGAAGAGUGUCUGUUCUGAAGAAAUCCAACCAGGGAAUAGCUGAAAGCAUCGAUCUGGGUUUUUAGGUCAUCCGUGAGAUUCGGAAGCAUCGAUCUGAUAAUCAGGUAAUACGGUCAUCUUUUUGUUCUAGUUUUAUGAUUUGGGUCCAAUUUUUUCGAUUUAGAGUUUGUGAGAUUUAGGGUAUCAAAUUAUUUUUGUUGGAUUUCUAUAUUUGGUUUUCUUUCUGGGGUUUCAAAACAGCGAUGAAUUGGGUUUGUUCGAUUUAUAUUUACAUAGUCAAUAUAAAUUACAGCGGAGGAGAAUUUGUUCUUAAGAACAGAGACGGUACUAAUACAACAUAUUAUGAUGAUAAGGAUCUAGGUGACGCUUCAGAGUUUUAUCAUAGCCAUAAUUGGGCCUUCAGUAGCACUUGUGAUUUCAUGGACAACAACAAUGAGGACAGUUAUACAAUUGAUCAUGCAAAUACAUCACUCUGGAUGACCCAGAGUUAUACUUGACAACAUGCAUAUCUCCUCUCUCUCUAACUUAUUACGGGUUUUGUUUGCUUAAUGGUAAUAAUUACAUAGUCAAACUCCACUUCGUUGAGAUAAUAUUUGAUGCUAAUGACUCGUACGGAAGUCUUGGGAGGCGUGUAUUUGAUGUCUACGUUCAGGGAUAACUAGAGUUGAAAGAUUUUGAUAUCGUGAAAGCAGCGGGUGGGGUUGGUAAGGUACACAUUGAAAUUUUACCUGCAGUUGUGACUAGUAUUUCCCUGGAAAUCCAGUGGAGCCAAAAGAACCUUUAGUAGUUCUAUUCAUGGUGGUGCUUCUGCUUCUACAAUUGGUGGCAGUGCUAGAAAUAAAUUCCUACCCCAAAAACAACAACAACAUCACCAUCAGCAACAACACAUCAGUACGGUGUCACAACUGCUUGCUGGUGGAAUUGCAGGAGAUGUCAGUAAAACUUGUACUGCUCCUAUUGCUUGCCUCACCAUUCUCUUUCAGAUGUUGCGAAUCUAAACAAAGCUAGAAUAUGGAGGGAGGCGUCACGGAUUGUACCAGAAGAAGAUUUUAGAGCACUCUGGAAAGGGAAUCUUGUUACUAUUGUUCAUUGUCUUCCUUAUUCUUCGAUAGCUUCUAUGCUUAUGAACGCUACAAAAAUUCGCUGCAGUCAAUUCCUGGAUUAGAGAGGCAUAGGGAAAAUGUUACUUCUGAUCUUUUUGUACGAUUGGUGGGUGGAGGGUUGGCAGGGAUAACAGCUGCAUCCAUUACUUAUCCACUUGAUCUUGUGA